rnacentral:tRNA from 1 species
GCCUCUGUAGCUCAGCCUGGUUAGAGCAAUUGCUCCGUAAGCAAAAGGCCGCAGGUUCAAAUCCUGCCUGAGGCU